UAGGCCAAUAUUCUUCUCGGGAUUGGUGGAAAAGACUUCCAAUCUUCCUAUAAAUAUUGCCCUCUCUUCUACACUUAAACCUACACUUGCUAUUCUCUCUCUCUCUCCUCCCCUUCCUCUCUCUCUCUCUAACAUAUGUAUAUAUAUGUGUAUGUAUUUGUUUCAAGAAACCCUAUUUAGGGUUGCAGCAGAUGAUGCUUUUGAAGGGCCUUCAGAAAUGGCUCUUUUCGUGUUCUUCCACAGCUUUCUUGAACAGCAAACUGCAGAUAACUGUACGUAUGGCCUCCUACCGGAGAUGAUUGAUGCCUUUUGCGGUUCAAUAAAGCUGUGGGAGGAUAUGGGGAGGGCCAGGGAGAAAUUCAAACUCUGAACAGUGUUUGGCUUUUACUAUUGAAUUAUCUUCUUUUAUUUACCAUCCUCGCUGUUUAUUAUUUUAUUUUCUUAACCUUUUGAAACUGCAUUUGAUCGGACGGAUGAAAUUCAUAGUUGUGCUGUUGGAAGGCUAGAUCUGAGAUAUGAUGUCCGGUCUCCAAUCCCCUUCCUCAACCACAGGCAGAGGAUAAGAAGAGAUUGGUUUGCUAUUUUGUUUCAGAUCUUUCGAUUCACAAAAUACAAAAAAAGAAUGUGUAAAUGGAAGGAAGAACAGUUGUUUUACCCACCAUGAUUGGUGGGGACUGAUAUAAUUCCCUGAUAAUUAUAGUAUAUAUAUAAACAUAUAUAUAUAUUUUGUGUU